rnacentral:rRNA from 1 species
AGUGAACGCUGGCGGUAGGCCUAACACAUGCAAGUCGAACGGCAGCACAGUAAGAGCUUGCUCUUACGGGUGGCGAGUGGCGGACGGGUGAGGAAUACAUCGGAAUCUACUUUUUCGGGGGGGAUAACGUAGGGAAACUUACGCUAAUACCGCAUACGAUCUACGGGUGAAAGCAGGGGAUCUUGGGACCUUGCGUGAUUGUAUGAGCUGAUGUCGGGUCGGAUUAGCUAGUUGGUAAGGUAACGGCUAACCAAGGCAACGUUGCGUAGCUGACCUGAGAGGGUGAUCGGCCACACUGGAACUGAGACACGGUCCAGACUCCUACGGUAGGCAGCAGUAGGGAAUCUUCCACAAUGGGCGAAAGCCUGACCCAGCCACACCGCGUGAGUGAUGAAGGCCUUCGGGUCGUAAAGCCCUUUUGUUGGGAAAGAAAAACAGCAGGUUUAUCCCCCGCCGUUCUGACGGUACCCAAACAGUAAGCCCCGGCUAACUUCGUG